rnacentral:lncRNA from 1 species
GGUAAAUUUCAUCUGUUUAUUCCUUCUCAGUCAAGAACAAAAAAAAAAGGGAAGGAAAUUUUUCACAUCUGGUGUUUUUAGUUAAAACCAACCACAUCAAAGAGAUGAGCACGACUCCUCGUAUCUUGGCACAUGCUUGACGGCAGUGCUUGAGUUAGAGAAGAUUGUAGGUAAACCGUGAGAGAGGAAGACCAGACUUGCUGAGACAUGGAGGAGGUAGCCAGAGACAGAACAACAAAGCCUCUUCUUCUUGUAAAUAUAAGGUUGCCUAGCUAGUACUAGUUCCCACCACACACGAACAGAGCUUCCAACUCGAGCUAACCCAAAGUAAUUAUGCCGAUCUAAGGAGAUGGAGAGGAAGGAAAGCCCCCACCUUUGAUGCAGCUGAUGUUGGAGGACGCGGACAGUGGCACACCGGGAGGUGCGUGGCUUGGGGCAGCGGAACGUACGGGGCCUGAUUCAUCUGCAGCGGGGUGCAGGGCACGGUUCAACUGCUUAGAUUACAGGGGCCUCCGAUGCCGAUGACUCACGAUUUCACGAAGCCUUGGCUGGCAGCGGCACCUCGCCAUGAACGCCACCAUCACUUUCAGGUGAGAUGUUUCAAUUUAGUUUAUUUGCAAUGGCUAGAUAUAUAUUGUCAAACUGAAUCCAAACAUAAGCCAAUGGGUUGAUUUAUUUGUGCGAGUGGAAUUGGACAGAGAAGACGAAGUGAAAGGGGACUCCGGUGGAGAUGAUAAAGUUGAUAACACGUCCAUAAAUUAAUGUUAG